GUCGGGUAUUGAAUGUUAAAUUUCGGAUAGUGGCGGACGGGUGAGUAACGCGUGGGCAACCUACCUUCAACAGGGGGAUAACACAGGGAAACUUGUGCUAAUACCGCAUAAGACCAUAGGAGGACAUCCUGAAGUGGUCAAAGGAGCAAUCCGGUGGAAGAUGGGCCCGCGUCCGAUUAGCUAGUUGGUAGUGUAACGGACUACCAAGGCGACGAUCGGUAGCCGAACUGAGAGGUUGAUCGGCCACAUUGGGACUGAGACACGGCCCAGACUCCUACGGGAGGCAGCAGUGGGGAAUAUUGCGCAAUGGGGGGAACCCUGACGCAGCAACGCCGCGUGAAGGAUGAAGGUUUUCGGAUUGUAAACUUCUUUGAUGAGGGACGAAAAAAAUGACGGUACCUCAAAAACAAGCCACGGCUAACUACGUGCCAGCAGCCGCGGUAAUACGUAGGUGGCGAGCGUUGUCCGGAAUUACUGGGUGUAAAGGGCGUGUA
rnacentral:rRNA from 1 species